CCCAGUUCGGACUGCAGUCUGCAACUCGACUGCACGAAGUCGGAAUUGCUAGUAAUCGCGGAUCAGCAUGCCGCGGUGAAUACGUUCCCGGGCCUUGUACACACCGCCCGUCACACCAUGAGAGUCGGGAACACCCGAAGUCCGUAGUCUAACCGCAAGGAGGACGCGGCCGAAGGUGGGCUUGAUAAUUGGGGUGAAGUCGUAACAAGGUAGC
rnacentral:rRNA from 1 species